GUGCUCCGAAGGUUAAGAGGUGCGUCAGUCGCAAGAUGAAGCGUUGAAUUGAAGCCCGAGUAAACGGCGGCCGUAACUAUAACGGUCCUAAGGUAGCGAAAUUCCUUGUCGGUUAAAUACCGACCUGCAUGAAUGGCGUAACGAGAUGGGAGCUGUCUCAACCAGAGAUUCAGUGAAAUUGUAGUGGAGGUGAAAAUUCCUCCUACCCGCGGCAAGACGGAAAGACCCCGUGGACCUUUACUACAACUUAGCACUGCUAAUGGGAAUAUCAUGCGCAGGAUAUGUGGGAGGCUUUGAAGUAAGGGCUUUGGCUCUUAUGGAGC
rnacentral:rRNA from 1 species